CUGGCGGCGUGCCUAAUACAUGCAAGUCGAACGCACUCUCGUUUAGAUUGAAGGAGCUUGCUCCUGAUUGAUAAACAUUUGAGUGAGUGGCGGACGGGUGAGUAACACGUGGGUAACCUGCCCUAAAGUGGGGGAUAACAUUUGGAAACAGAUGCUAAUACCGCAUAAAACCUAACACCGCAUGGUGUAGGGUUGAAAGAUGGUUUCGGCUAUCACUUUAGGAUGGACCCCGCGGUGCAUUAGUUAGUUGGUGAGGUAAAGGCUCACCAAGACCGUGAUGCAUAGCCGACCUGAGAGGUAAUCGGCCACACUGGGACUGAGACACGGCCCAGACUCCUACGGGAGGCAGCAGUAGGGAAUCUUCCACAAUGGACGAAAGUCUGAUGGAGCAACGCCGCGUGAGUGAAGAAGGUUUUCGGAUCGUAAAACUCUGUUGUUGGAGAAGAAUGUAUCUGAUAGUAACUGAUCAGGUAGUGACGGUAUCCAACCAGAAAGCCACGGCUAACUACGUG
rnacentral:rRNA from 1 species